rnacentral:rRNA from 1 species
CCUACGGGAGGCAGCAGUAGGGAAUCUUCCACAAUGGACGAAAGUCUGAUGGAGCAACGCCGCGUGAGUGAAGAAGGGUUUCGGCGCGUAAAGCUCUGUUGGUAGUGAAGAAAGAUAGAGGUAGUAACUGUCCUUUAUUUGACGGUAAUUACUUAGAAAGUCACGGCUAACUACGUGCGAGCAGCCGCGGUAAUACGUAGGUGGCUAGCGUUGUCCGGAUUUAUUUGGCGGAAAGCGAGUGCAGGCGGUUCAAUAAGUCUGAUGUGAAAGCCUUCGGCUCAACCGGAGAAUUGCAUCAGAUACUGUUGAACUUGAGUGCAGAAGAGGAGAGUGGAAGUCCAUGUGUAGCGGUGGAAUGCGUAGAUAUAUGGAAGAACACCAGUGGCGAAGGCGGCUCUCUGGUCUGCAACUGACGCUGAGGCUCGAAAGCAUGGGUAGCGAACAGGAUUAGAUACCCCAGUAGUC